GAUGAACGCUGACAGCAUGCUUAACACAUCAGCAAUUGAUUGGUGGCGGACGGAUGAGUAACGCGUAAAGAACUUGCCUCACAGGUAGGGACAACAUUUGGAAACGAAUGCUAAUACCUAAUACUGUGAGAGAGCUUUGCGUCCCAUUAGCUAGUUGGCGAGGUAACGGCUCACCAAGGCGAGGAUGGGUAGCCGGCCUGGGAGGGUGAUCGGCCACAAGGGGACUGAGACACGGCACUUAGUCCUACGGGAGGCAGGAGUGGGGAAUAUUGGACAAUGGGCCAAAGUCUGAGACAGCAAUUCGGUGUGCACGAUGAAGUUUUCGGAAUGUAAAGUGCUUUCAUUUGGGAAGCGGCACCAACAGAAGAAGUGACGGCUAAAUACGUGCCAGCAGCCGCGGUAAUAC
rnacentral:rRNA from 1 species